UACAUGUCAAGUCGAGCGGACCGAAUAGAAGCUUGCUUCUGUUUGGUUAGCGGCGGACGGGUGAGUAACACGUGGGCAACCUGCCCGUAAGACGGGGAUAACUUCGGGAAACCGGAGCUAAUACCCGAUAACCCUGAAGACCGCAUGGUCUUUAGUUGAAAGGCGGCUUCGGCUGUCACUUACGGAUGGGCCCGCGGCGCAUUAGCUAGUUGGUGAGGUAACGGCUCACCAAGGCGACGAUGCGUAGCCGACCUGAGAGGGUGAUCGGCCACACUGGGACUGAGACACGGCCCAGACUCCUACGGGAGGCAGCAGUAGGGAAUCUUCCGCAAUGGACGAAAGUCUGACGGAGCAACGCCGCGUGAGCGAAGAAGGUCUUCGGAUUGUAAAGCUCUGUUGUUAGGGAAGAACAAGUGUGGUUCGAAUAGGGCCGUACCUUGACGGUACCUAACGAGAAAGCCACGGCUAACUACGUGCCAGCAGCCGCGGUAAUACGUAGGUGGCAAGCGUUGUCCGGAAUUAUUGGGCGUAAAGCGCGCGCAGGCGGUUCCUUAAGUCUGAUGUGAAAGCCCACGGCUCAACCGUGGAGGGUCAUUGGAAACUGGGGGACUUGAGUGCAGAAGAGGAGAGCGGAAUUCCACGUGUAGCGGUGAAAUGCGUAGAGAUGUGGAGGAACACCAGUGGCGAAGGCGGCUCUCUGGUCUGUAACUGACGCUGAGGCGCGAAAGCGUGGGGAGCAAACAGGAUUAGAUACCCUGGUAGUCCACGCCGUAAACGAUGAGUGCUAAGUGUUAGAGGGUAUCCACCCUU
rnacentral:rRNA from 1 species